GACGGGGGGGCGAAGUGUUCUUUCGGAAUGACUGGGCGUAAAAGGGCACGUAGGCGGUGAAUCGGGUUGAAAGUGAAAGUCGCCAAAAAGUGGCGGAAUGCUCUCGAAACCAAUUCACUUGAGUGAGACAGAGGAGAGUGGAAUUUCGUGUGUAGGGGUGAAAUCCGUAGAUCUACGAAGGAACGCCAAAAGCGAAGGCAGCUCUCUGGGUCCCUACCGACGCUGGGGUGCGAAAGCAUGGGGAGCGAACAGG
rnacentral:rRNA from 1 species